UGUGAUUAAUUCGUUCAAGCUUUGUGUUCUUGAUUUUUCAUAAAAUUACGAAGUCUGCCUGUGUGAUUUGAGUGAAAUUUGUUGGUUGGGACAGGUUUACUUAGUCCUGCAACUUAGUUCUGCAUUAUGGAAGGUUUACUUAGUCCUGCAAAUUCGUCAAGUCUGAAUAUACAAGGUGGCUUACAUGUGAGUUCUUGCCCUGUUCAUGAUGGAACUAUGUAUCUCCAUUAACUGCGUGGGCUGCACUUAUCUGAAGUUUGUAUCUACCUCUUUGCUCACGAUUUGUUCGAUCAAAUUUUGUAUAAAUACCUAGAUUGUAUGAAUGAAUUUAUGUGAUUUUCCCUGGAAUUUAUGAAUACAUUUUUUGCAGAAUUGGACUGAUAUAAAUUAUUUGAAUUUGGAUUACUGAUUCUUUCUCAAAUAUUUCAGUCCCUGCAGCAACAUCAGUGUUAUUUGACAGAAUUGCAUCAGCCCUGAAGGGUUUGGAAACAUCGAUCCCUGCCAUUAUAAACAGAACAUGUUGCGUUCUCGCUGCAUAGUAUUAGAAGGACUCAUGUAUGAAGUAUCUAUUUUAAAGAAAUUAAACCUAUCUUUGGAAUUUUGAUUCCCAGGUCUGAAUUCAGAUCUAUAUAUUUUUAUCUUCUUGUAAUGGUUUGCCUCCUGCAAUCAUUUGUUUGCCUUUAUCUGCAUCCGCAUGAAGAUUAAAAAUGGAAGAGAAAUCAAUGAACUAUAUUGUUCCGCCGUACAUAGGCCGGAAAGAUUUGAUGUAUGUAUAGCGUAUUUUUAAGGCAUGGCCAUCUCAGCAAUAAUCAGUACAUUAUAGGAUUGUCACCAAAGAUGUGAAAUCAAGGUCAUGUAGAUAGUCAUGCUUAGCAGAUUGUUUAUAUUCGGAAGGAAAGAAGACAGAAACAGUAACAGACCAUGUAUUUUUAUCAGCGAAUUCAGCUUAGUUAGCUUUGCUUGAUAUUGGUUUGCAAAAUCUAACUCUCUUAACUCCUCUUUUAAGUGAGGGUUUGCUCUGCUCUAUAAUUUUCUUCCAUUUUCCAAUACAAAUUGUGUUUAAAUGAUACGUGGCAUUGCGAAUUAUGACCAACUAGCUACGGUUUAGUAUGGUAUGGUUUUGUUCUGGCUCAUUUCAUUGACUGUGGUUGGUUGUUAUCAUUUUAUACCCACAUUUUCAAACCUUAGAGAAAGGGAUGGCAACAAAGCUUCAUAUUUCAGCUACUGAUAUCAUAGUGUGCAUGUUAUGGGCACAACUAAGUCUUCUUGCAUGUUGCAGUAAUGUACAGUUGGACGUUAAGCUAAUUUUCUUUUUUGCAGGUUAAGCUAAUAGCUUCAUAGAUGAAAUUUUGUCUAUCUUGUUGUAUAAAUUAUAGCAUCGUGUAGGCCGAUAGCUGAAAUUUAGUCUACCUUGCACUAUAAUUUUUGGCAUAGUGCAAUUCAUCUUGCUGCAUAAAUUAUCUUCACUAUAAAUUCUGGCAUAGUACAGUCCAUCUUGCUGUAUAAAUUUUGGUACAGUGCAGACAAGGCAUGAGAAAAUGGCUUGCCGAGCCAACACCGGCAACACUGCACCAUGAGGAUGGUCGGUGGGCACCAUCAAACAAAUCUCAAUAGUGUUAUCUUGCAUUCGUACGAGCAUCGGUCCGGCCUUUUUAAAUACGAACAACAAAUCGCUGCAUUUUACGAGCCUUUUUCUGGUUUAUUCUUAUUGCUUGAGAAUUUUAAGGAGCAUUGUGGGUUUCUCUGCCCAUAAGGAGGAAACUACAUUUUGUAUGUGAUGCAUGUUUGGCUGAAAUCCCCCCUUCUACCUUUUGCAGAGCUCUCACAAAUCAAGUAAGUUACGAAGUGGCCUGAAUGUCUAGAUUCUAGCUUGCUUUGAAUUUAUGAAUUAUCGCUGCUAUAUUGUUAUCUCGGGAUAGUGAAACAGUCGAGUUGUACUACUUGCAGGGGAUUUCUGCAUACAGUUCAUCCAUUCAGUAAAGGCAUAUGCAGAAAUAUCUAUCACUUUGACUUCACCACGAAAUUAAUUUGUUCUGGAAGCCGUAGGUACCCUUACUCGAGGAGCUGGAAGCCAGAGAAGCUCUGUACCAAUUUUAGUGCUGGUGUUAUUGAUCUGUGUGUUGCUGUGCCAUUCUUCAGCCCUAGCAUGUGUUGUCAUCCAUUGUUCAAACUUUUUCUUCCACUGGAAGCAUGUCUUUCAUGAACUGCACCAAUAAAUGUACAUUGAAUUUAUCAAUGUCUAUAUGUAGUUUAUCCUUUCUCCUUGACGCGCUUAGAAUUUACGUAAAUAUUUACGCGCUCAGAAUUUUUAAAACUGAAACACCGAUUAUGCGGGGGGAGGGGGACAAUGGCCCCCUUAGCCCUUGCCUUAGUCAACUUCCCCAUGCUCCAUUGUUUUGCCAACAAUGAUACUAUCUCUAAUGUUUGCUUUAUUGCAGGCUAAACGUCCUUCUGCUAUCGAUUCCUUUCACAAAAUCACAACCAACUGGCAGGGCAAGACGAUAGCUUCUUGGACUACGACGGAACACUGUCGCCAAUAGUAGAUAAUCCUGACGAGGCAUACAUGUCCAACGAGGUAAGUAUAACGAAAAGAAAAAUUCUUGCAUGUUCCUUGAUAUUUGUAGAUCUUUCUUAUCCCUGGAACAUAUAAUCAGAUGCAUGAACUUGUUCAAGAAAUUGCCUCCUUGUGCCCCACUUCAGUCGUCAGUGGAAGGGCCUGCGAUAAGGUAUUACGUAUCUAGUAGCCUUUUAAUUUGGAUGUUCUAUACAUUUGUAAUUAGUGACUCACUUGUUUUGCUAUUCAUCUGUUGACAGAAAAUUUCAAAAUGAUCGAAAACCUGCACUAUGCAGGGAGCCACGGAGCAGAAAUCAAACUCCUAAGCCAUUAUUAAAUUUAGAAAUGUCUAUAUGUAGUUUAUCCUUUCUCUUUGACAUGCUCAGAAUUUAUGUGAAUAUUUAACCUGCAGAGUGAUGAAACAGAAACCCACGAGCCUACCAACGAGUACGUACCUGUUAUAAAUCAGAUAUAGAAUAUAACGAAUUAUAAUAAUCCACAUAUCUAUCUUUUUAACAACUAUUUUGCUGCUUCCUACUAUUCUGUCCAUAAGUAAAACUCAGUUCUGCCUAGCCCUUGCCUUAGUCAAUUCUUCCCCAUGCUCAAUUCUUUUGCAAAAAAACUACCUGCAAACCACAUGUUGCGGUUUGCAAAGAAGCCCUUCUUAAUUGUCUAUCCUCAAAUAAUUAAAAAAAUUAGGCGAGGUUUUGUGCGGUUUGCAAAGAAGCCCUUAAGGUGAGAUGAACUUAUGUUUCAAAUAAUUACAAAAAAAUGUAGUUACACAGGUUCUCGAAGACAUAUGCUGGAAGGAAAUGUUGUGUGAGAAGCGACGUAUUCCAAGAGCCAUCGACAUUCAGGAGAUCUGCCAUCCAUUUUAGUCUGCAUCGACGUUUUUGUGUGAUCGGCCUAAAGGAGGGUUCCCUUGGGAUCCAAGGAUCAUUGCCAUAUGUGUAUGUUUUCUUCAGUGCCAACAUGCCAGACGCACCCCUGCUUAGCUAGCUCUAACCCAUAUUCAAUGGUUGCACAUGUCGACGAACCAUUCCCUGUGAAGAUUGUGUCAAUAAUGGAUCCAGACAGAUAGUACUUGGCUCAUAGGACCCGUGGACAUAGGCUCUCCAAAACUAUGUGCAAGCAAGGCCUUGAUUGAACAACCUCAAAUUUUUGCACAAGCUCCUACAAAUUUUGCAUCCAGCUCAUGUAUGUACUCGCUCAAGUCCUUUUUACUCAACGUAUAAGAUUUGUCUUAAGUUAAACUCCGUAAAGUUUGACCAUGUUUGUGUAAAAAAAUACCAACAUCUAUAAUACUAAAAUUCUAAAGUUAUACAUUAUGAAAAUUAAAUUCAUGGCGCAUCUAACUAUAUUGGUUUCAUAUUAGAAUGUUGUUAUCUUUUCAAUAAAGUUGGUCAAACUUUACUAAAUUUGAUUUUAGAUGAAACUUAUAUGCGGAGUAAAAUGGACCGGAGGGAGUAUAUAUACUCCAAUAAAUUUCCAUCGGCUCAUAAUAUUUGAAACUAUCAGCUGAGCAUGACGGGAGCAUGUAUCACAUAUAUUUGAGACCAAUGAUGCUGUGAUUACCUCAUGCCCAAAUAUUUUUUGCCUAGAAUUCAUGUACUUUUAACAGGAAAAGUUCGCCGAAGUUGGUCAAUCUCUCUUAAUCAAUCCUUUAAAAAAUUGGUAUAUAACCCUGCACUUCGAUCAUAACAACCUCUUGCAUCCGUACUUCGCAUAGCAUGAUCCACUUGAAGCAAGAAGAAAAAUCCUAAACGCAUAUAAAAAAAAGAAAAAAACCUACUCCUUCCGUCUCAUAAUGUAAGACGUUUUUUGACACUAGUGUAGUGUCAAAAUAUAUCUUACAUUAUAGGACACAGGGAGUAAUUCUAAAUAUACUACACCUAGCUAGGUUUGAUUUAUCUGGAUUUGACUUUUUUCUAUCAGUGGAAAACAGACCAAUGGGAAGGCGACACGUUAUUUACUGGGGAUCUGUUGGGAUAUGUUUUGGAGUGCCUUUAGCGAUUUGGUAGAGCUGCAGUUGCUGGAUUGGUUUCGCCCAUCUCUCUUAAUCCUUUACACGUGCGGACGAUGCGUCUUCAUCUUUGGAAGACUUUCGUGAAAUCCCGUUGGUUCCUAUUUCAUACCUCUCAAUUCUUGCCGCGUGUCCAUCCCGAAGACUCUCGUGGGAUCAUGACCACCACCGCUUGCCGUUGUUCCACCGCCGUAUGGGCUAAUAAAAAGGCUACCCUCCCUCGCCAUCCGCCUCGCCCACUCUCGAGCUGUGGUCUUCCAAAGUCGGGCGGCGCACCAGCCGCUCUCCUUGAUCUCGCCGGUUGCGGUGCCUCGCCGAUGUGCAGGGCCAAGGACGUGCCGAUGCAUCGAGAUGCCCCUCGCCCAGCCUACUGGCGCUCCGUCGACGCACCUGGCUCCUCCUCGACGCCUCAAGCCGUCCCGCGCCGCAUGUGUCUAGGUCUCGUGCCCGUCCAGGCCACCAGCAUGCUGCCGUCCCACGCUCUACCGGAGCCCUCUGCCCGUCGUCAUCGUGGCAAGCUGCCGCCUCUACUAGGAUAGCGCAGAAGCCGACGCGAGGAGGCGCCCCAUCUCCCCGUUGCUCUGCCUUCGUGUCAAGGCGAUGGAGAUGUGCGAGAGCUGAGAGGGAUGGGAGGAGGAGCGGCCACGGUGAAGUGGCCGAAGGAGGUGCUGGCAUGGCGGCGGCGUGGGGAGCGAUUGGAGGCGCGCGGGCCUCACCGCUGCCUCCUGAGGUGAGCCUCGCCGUCACUUUCUCUUGGUGCGAUGCUGCAUGUACAAUAGCCGGCGAGGUCUGUAUCUUGCGUCAAGAGUAGCGCUUGGGGAUCUUCAGGAGGUCCAUCGACAGCAAUACACAGCUGCAGGAAUGACAACAGGUGGACUAGCUCAACGUGAGGGUGACCAUGGGCAAGGGGUGCUGUGGCUGCUCGAGGUCUGGUGGUCAUGACAGGGGGCGAUGUGACUGUCAAGGUCUGGUUCGUUUUUGACGCCGCAGAGGUCGUCCGUGUCACUCCGAUCGGCUAACCGGCUGAUCCCACGGCCACGGGUGAGGCGAAAUCUCCCUAUUAUACCUGCAAAUCUUUUGCGUCCUCUAUUCACUGAUUAGUAUGCGGCGAGCUGAUUGUGAUGGUCAUACUUGGGUGCAGAGUGCAGGCUCCUACUUCAGGCUUCGAUCUAGAAACAAUUUCCCUGGGUGAAUGUAGGGAUGUACUAUGUAGUGUGAUUAAUUCGUUCAAGCUUUGUGUUCUUGAUUUUUCAUAAAAUUACGAAGUCUGCCUGUGUGAUUUGAGUGAAAUUUGUUGGUUGGGACAGGUUUACUUAGGCCUGCAACUUAGUUCUGCAUUAUGGAAGGUUUACUUAGUCCUGCAAAUUCGUCAAGUCUGAAUAUACAAGGUGGCUUACAUGUGAGUUCUUGCCCUGUUCAUGAUGGAACUAUGUAUCUCCAUUAACUGCGUGGGCUGCACUUAUUUGAAGUUUGUAUCUACCUCUUUGCUCACGAUUUGUUCGAUCAAAUUUUGUAUAAAUACCUAGAUUGUAUGAAUGAAUUUAUGUGAUUCUCCCUGGAAUUUAUGAAUACAUUUUUUGCAGAAUUGGACUGAUAUAAAUUAUUUGAAUUUGGAUUACUGAUUCUUUCUCAAAUAUUUCAGUCCCUGCAGCAACAGCAGUGUUAUUUGACAGAAUUGCAUCAGCCCUGAAGGGUUUGGAAACAUCGAUUCCUGCCAUUAUAAACAAAACAAUGUUGCGUUCUCGCUGCAUAGUAUUAGAAGGACUCAUGUAUGAAGUAUCUAUUUUAAAGAAAUUAAACCUAUCUUUGGAAUUUUGAUUCCCGGGUCUGAAUUCAGAUCUAUAUAUUUUUAUCUUUUUGUAAUGGUUUGCCUCCUGCAAUCAUUUGUUUGCCUUCAUCUGCAUCCGCAUGAAGAUUAAAAAUGGAAGAGAAAUCAAUGAACUAUAUUGUUCCGCCGUACAUAGACCGGAAAGAUUUGAUGUAUGUAUAGCGUAUUUUUAAGGCAUGGCCAUCUCAGCAAUAAUCAG
rnacentral:lncRNA from 1 species